AGGAACCUCUCAAACUUUUCAUCACAUAAUGAAAAUGUAAACAGAAUCUUUAAGGAACAUAACAAUUUUCAUACACUCAAUCUGUGAAACUUUUAAGAAAUUAAUAAGACAAACAAAGGUAAAAAAUAAAGGCAUAAUGGAUAUCAUAUCCACAAAAGUGACCGGCAGCUUUUAAUAAAGAAGGUAGUAUAACUUUUGAAUUAGCCUUAUUUUAAUUUAUUUAUUAUUAAAUAAAUAAGAGACCAAAAGUAAGAGGUCUCUGGCGGCGUCACUACAUACAGACAGAUGCUUCAAGGGUUAAAAAGCAGAGGGUCAUCUUCAACCUUAAAUCGAGUAAAAGAUACCCAUUUAACGGACCCAGUUCAUUUUCACCAUAAUAGAUCCCGAAAAUCAGAUAUAAAGUCACAAAUGUCUUAGAAAAUAUGUUUUCUUACGAUUUCUAACACUAAUUUGCAGCAAAAGUUCAAAAAUUACAGAUUCGAAAAUCCGAACACCAUUUUUGAACAAUUUUUCAAGCUUCGGAAAACAAAUUGCUCUGAUAUAAGUUAUUUACACGAUCCAAAGCAUGUAAAUCAUCUACGGAGCAAAAGCGCAGGGGAAUAAUAGAUAGCGUACCUCCGGCCAUUGUUUCGGAAUCACUGUCGGCGUCGUCGGUGAUCGUUUCCAACUCCAGUGAGUCUUCUAAGCACUCAGAAGAUCCGAAAACCAUUUUUGAACAAAUUUUCAAGCUUCGGAAAACAAGGCAGAGAUUAAAAAAAAAAAUCCUCUGAUACUAAAUAUAUGUUAUUUACAUGAUCCAAAGCAUGUAAAUCAUCUACGGAGCAAAAGCGCAGCGGAAUAAUAGAUAGCAUACCUCCGGCCAUUGUUUCAGAAUCGUUGUCAACGUCGUCGGUGACUGUUUUCAACUCGGAGCAAAAGCGCAGCAGAAUAAUAGAUAGCAUACCUCCGCCUAUUGUUUCGGAAUUGUUAUCGGCGUCGGCGUUCGUCGGUGACUGUUUCCAACUCCGGUCAGAAUAUCUCACUAGAUGGUGUAGUAAUUAAGAGAAGAUUUUUCUGUGCUUAGGGACCCAAUCCAUGUUUUCCUUUUAUACUACUUGUCCAUCAAGAGCAGUUAUUGAAAGGUUACCAUAGGACAACAGUUUACUAAGUUACGGGCAGUUACCAGACGUGGGAAAAGGUUGAGAGUUUGUCCCUUUAUAUACGGGACAUGACAAAAGUUCAAGUUUUAAACUUUCAACUAACAGUUAGUUUAUAAUAAUCUCUUGGUUCUA